ACAUAUGGUGUCAUAAAUGGGACCUGCAAAGUUUACAAUUGGAAGGAAUUGGUGAUUCUUGGAGCAUGCAUGCAGUCUUCACUUCAUACCCUUUAGCGCUCUGCUUCUAUAAGUCACCCUUUCUGCCCUGAGGCAGUGGAAAUUGCAUCUUCAGAAGAUCGACAUGUGGAUGGAGAGAUUGAAGUUCUUCAACAGGCAUUAUAUAUGAAAAUGAUGCAAAAUAAAUGUGAAACACUACAGAUGGAUCAGGAGAGGUUGGAAGAAGAACUAGUGAACCUCAAAAGUCACAUGGAAAUGAAUAUGUUAGAACGUGGUCUCUUGGAACACCAUAAACAGGAGGUUGAAGAAGAGCAAGGCAGGAGAUAAUAGAACAAUUAGAAAAAGUCAAUCUAUUUUUACAGACACAAGAAACAUCUCAAGAAGAGCUACAGUAGUUAACAGAAGAAAACAUUGCUUCCAUGUAAAGUCAGAUGGAACUUAUAAUUGAAAAUCUGGAAUUCCAACUCUACAAAGCAAACACUUCACAAGCAGACUAUAAUACAGCAGAAUUGGAAACAUAUAAGAAACUGCAUCUAGAAGAAUUAAAAGCUAGAGAAUCUCUGUCAGAUAAAUUAAGCAAGUACGUCAAAGACAGAAUCACAGAAAAUAAAUGAAGAUCAUUAAUUUGCCUCAAAAGCAUAAUUUUUAGUGAGACAGAUUCAUAAGAUUGGGGGAAGCAAAAGCUAACUAGAUUAGACAAUUUUGGAAAAUGAUGUUAGUAAAUGAACUUACUUUUAAAAUGUUAGUCUAGGA